GAUGAAGAACGUAGCGAAAUGCGAUAAGUAAUGUGAAUUGCAGAAUUCAGUGAAUCAUCGAAUCUUUGAACGCACAUUGCGCCCCCUGGUAUUCCGGGGAGCAUGCCUGUCCGAGCGUCAUUACAACCCUCAAGCUCAGCUUGGUGUUGGGCCCCGCCGCCCCGGCGGGCCCUAAAGUCAGUGGCGGUGCCGUCCGGCUCCGAGCGUAGUAAUUCUUCUCGCUCUGGAGGUCCGGUCGUGUGCUCGCCAGCAACCCCCAAUUUUUUUCAGGUUGACCUCGGAUCAGGUAGGGAUACCCGCUGAACUUAAGCAUAUCAAUAAGCGGAGGA
rnacentral:misc_RNA from 1 species